AUGGGGGACCCCAAAGCCAACUUGGUGACAUCACACGCCGGAGUCGGACCCACGGCCCCCAGGCCACAGCUCAGAGGGGCGGGACCGCCCGGGCCGGGGCGGGGCCAGGGCGGGGCCUGUCACCAGGGAAACCGCCCUCCUAGUGUCCGCGCGCGGCGGUUGAAUUGCGCCCAGCGAGACAACGGCCUGCGAACGCCAGUUAGGGGAGAGGCGUCUCGGAGACUCAGAGACACCAAGGCCCCUGCGACGAGGUGGCUGCCGCUAGGGGGCGUCAGGACGACGGACCGGGUUCGAGUUGGACCCGCCUUUUCCGCCCGCGCCCCAGGCCCGUGCAGUUCGGCAUUCGCGUCCGAGAGCGGGAAAGAAGCAGUGGCCAAGGCGCCGAUUUUAUUUGGAGAGAAGCAAGCAUCUUUGCCUCUUUGGAGUAGGAAAUUCUGACUUGAAAAAGGUAGGAUUUUCUUCCUCUUUUUUUCAACUUGUGAAAAAAAUUAAAGUGUAGUUUUCAAAAGUGGACACGUUGUUAAAAAUUUAAGAUAGUUUAUUUUUAGUUUUGUAGAUACUUCUAAAUUAGGGAUGAAGGCUGUAGAUAGUAUAUCUGAAUUUUAAGCAAUGCUUUAAAUAUGGUUUUCAGAAACUUAAACUUUUCUCGUCUUAAUUUUCAAAACUAUUUAAUUUUGUGAACUAAUUACAUUUCAAACUAAAGUGAAAGGAGUUAUGUCUUGGAACUUGACAAACUUUUACAUUUUAUACUUUAGGCACUGAUUAUAAAUCAAGGUGGCAGGAUGAUGGUAGACAGGAUUUACGCCAUGACAUUUGAACUACAUGAUUGAAUGGGAAAGGGAAACCAGUUAUCUCAUUAUACAUUAAAAUAGGCACUAAAGUGUAAAUGUGUAGUUUUUAACAAUGACACCUGUAUAAUUACUACCCAGGCUAAGAAGUAGAAAAUUACCAGCAUUCUAGGAAAUAUAUGCAUAUUGCUUCUAAGUAACAGCCCUUCUCCUCCCCACAGGUGACCACUAUCUUUACCUGUAUACUAAAAUUCCUUUUUUCAUACCAGUGGUUCCCAAAGUUUGGUCUGGCAUCAGCUUCAUCUGGGAAUCUGUUAGAAAUGCAAAUUCUUGG
rnacentral:lncRNA from 1 species